UACGUAGGGGGCAAGCGUUGUCCGGAAUCAUUGGGCGUAAAGAGCGUGUAGGCGGCCAGAUAAGUCCGCUGUGAAAUCUCGAGGCUCAACUUCGAGCUGUCGGUGGAAACUGUCUGGCUAGAGUCCGGAAGAGGAGAAUGGAAUUCCUGGUGUAGCGGUGAAAUGCGCAGAUAUCAGGAAGAACACCAGUGGCGAAGGCGGCUUUCUGGUCUGUAACUGACGUGAGGCGCGAAAGCGUGGGGGAGCAAACAGG
rnacentral:rRNA from 1 species